rnacentral:rRNA from 1 species
GACGAACGCUGGCGGCGUGCCUAAUACAUGCAAGUCGAACGCAGUGGGGACGGGUGAGUAACACGUGGGUAACCUCCCAUCAGAGGGGAUAACACUUGGAAACAGGUGCUAAACCGAUACUGAUGGAUGGACCCGCGGUGCAUUAGCUAGUUGGUGAGGUAACGGCGGACCAAGGCCAAGAUCCAUAGCCUACGUGAGAGGGUGAGCGGCCAGACUGGUACUGAGACGCGGCCCAGAAUCCGACGGGAGGCAGCAAUAAGGAAUAUUCGGCAAUGGACGAAAGUCUGACCGAGCAACGCCGCGUGAGUGAAGGAGGUUUUCGGUUCGUAAAACUCUGUUGUUAGAGAAGCGGUAUCUAACCAGAAAGCCCCGGCUAACUACGUGCCAGCCGCCGCGGUAAUUC